UACGUAGGCAGCGAGCGUUGUUCGGAAUUACUGGGCGUAAAGAGUGUGUAGGCGGUGCUCUAAGUUCGGUGUGAAAUCUCCCGGCUUAACUGGGAGGGUGCGCCGGAAACUGGAAUGCUCGAACGUGGGAGAGGAAAGCGGAAUUCCUGGUGUAGCGGUGAAAUGCGUAGAUAUCAGGAGGAACACCUGCGGUGUAGACGGCUUUCCGGACCAUUGUUGACGCUGAGACACGACAGCGUGGGUAGCAAACAGG
rnacentral:rRNA from 1 species